AUUUUCUUAGUAUAUUAGUAUACUUGAUUUCCAAUUAAGAGGUUUAAAAUUUAGAGAAAAUA
rnacentral:tRNA from 1 species